GGAAUCUAACAUUAUCAUUUACAAAUAAAAUCUGACACAAUCAUGAAUAAAGUUACUCUCUAAAAGUAAUGUGAUGGUGAUUUCCUGAAGAUUGCAUAGUGACCCUACCUUCCCUGUCAGGUAACUUGUUGAGGAAAAAGGCCACUUCCACCUUUUUUUUUUUUUUUAAGUCAACACAUCUUAAAACUGAGGAAAAUGUCACCACCAACCGAUUUAACAAUCAAAUCAUUUGGCAAAGGAAUUUUUCUAAUGCUCUUCAACUACACUCAGUAGCAAUGAAUAAUUUCUAGAGGUUCAAGAAACACCCGAACCUUUCAAUGUUAUCCUCACAUUAGACCCAAUUACAAACAUGGCGGGGGCAUGGGCGGGGGCUCUUCUUCAUCAGUUCAUAGUCCAUGGCCAAUAAAAAUCAAGAUACAGUGGGACAUACAUGCAGGACAAUGUGCAAGAAAGUACCAUCCUCCUGAUAAUAGGAAGUAAGAUGUCUAGAUAGUAAUGAAAGCACUUCUGUAGAAUCUAUUGAUAAGGAAAACUCAAACUGAGCACAAGAGCCUCUUCUUAGCUUAUUGAGGCAGAACAGAUGAGAUAGUGUAUAGAUUUGAGGUAUUUUAAUAUCUAGAUUUUAACUGAAAAUUUAUCCAUAUUAAUGGGCUCACCAUAGGAUUUCCACAUGUGCAUCCAGUGAGUGUUUGUCACGUCUAUGUAGCCUUCUUUCAUUUUUGCCCUCACCUCUUCUAGCAUCCUUUCCAUUCCUAUGUAAUUAUUAUUCUAAUUUGAGUUUUCAUUCAUUUUUUGGGUUGUUUCUACAUAUGAAAGAGAGCAUGUAAUAGUUGUUUUUCUUUGAGUUAGUAUUAUUCUUCCUGUAUAUUUAUUUGUAGAAAAUGGCAGGAUUUCAUUCUCCUUGCUGGUUAAAUAAUACUCUGUGUGUGUGUGUGUGUGUGUGUGUGUGUGUGUGUGUGUGUGUGUGUGUGUGUGUGUGUGUUUCUUCUGUGUAUCUCUUGAUGAACAUCAUGUCUGAUUCCAUAUCUGAGCUUUUGUGACGAGUGCUCCAGUAAACAUGGUUGUAUACAUAAGUGCAUGAGAGAGCUGCAAUGAGUGAUGCUAAAAUGCAGAGGGGAACAAAGCACACCAAGCUCAAAGACUAAAUGCUCAGAGGGACUGAUUCCUGCGACCAUGGAUGAGGUUGACCUCAGGUGGAUUCAUAAUAUUGAAAGCAGUUACCUACUGGGUUCCCAUCACCUUAGGCUUAGCACAACACUGGACACAAUGAACAAAGAACUCUGGUUUCUUGUCCCCAGGUUCAUGCAGGCAGUCUUGAGCAACAUCGCAGCUCCAGCUACUGACUCAUUCCCAGAGCGCAUGGUCUAGAAAGAUCAUUAGGAUUUCCUUGCCCAGGAGUAGUCACACUGCAUUCACAUACUCUGUCAUCUGAAAGGAAUUUUGUCCACCUCCAAUUUUGACUCUAUUAUGUUCAGUCUUGAAGGACAUGGUGUUGAAUUUGUGGAGAGAGGCUUUAGAGAUCAUGAUCAAGCUCUGUGUACAGACAGAGCACAGGGCACAGGUCAGGUUCUCCUGUUGUGCAGGCCAUGUCUAUAGUAGACAAGGGAGGACUAAGGCAACUAGUAAUGCUGUCACCAUCUAUCUACACAGGCCUCAUGAUUAAACACUUUUAUGUUUCUGAUUUAAAUUAAAUAAAUUAAACCAAGUGUCUAUUAAACAUCCACACAUGAUUUUAAAAUGAGAAUGCGCUUUAAAUCCUUCAUGAUCACUGCUCAGGUUAACCAAUAUUUUUUUUGUGUGUGUGGUAACCGCUUGCUUAGCAGUUUAAAGAACCUGCAAAAUUAAUUUUAUGUAGUCACUGUAAUAUUUUACAUUUCCACCAAAAAUUACACACGUGGUCUUUUUUCAUGUUUUCAUAGGAAUUGGUAGCAUCACUUAAUAUUAUUCAAUUAAUUAUGAACAAUAAUUGUCAUUGCAGUUGAAACUUGUAAUACUUUAUGACUAAGAUAUUUAGGAACCUUUUAUGUACCUGCUGGACAGUCUUCCUAUUGACCUGUGUGUUGAUGUCUUUUACUUGUCACCAAUUCCCUUAUUUAUUCUUUUCCUUUACAGAUUUGUAAGUUAUUUAACUAUUUGUUGGGUCAUGAUUUAUAAAUACACACAUACUUUAAUUUUACUGUCUUUUGGUAUUUCUCCAUAUUUCAUGGUGAAAGGUUUUAAUUUGAUGAAGUUGUCAAUCAAUCAUUUUCCUUAAAUUUUGUAUGCUGGGUGUUAUUGACUCUAUACUGAAGAAAUGUGACAAAUCUAUCUCAGCCCACUUGCCAAGUCAAGUCAUCAUCAAUACUGGUAAAUCACAUUGGUAGUAUGUACCCUUGAUAUCAUGUGAAAGCUUAAUUCACUUUUGCUGUUCUCUCCUUGACAAUAUCCAUCCCUCCCCUCUUACCAUGACUAAAAUGCCAGAUAAAAUCUAAUCCAAGGGGCAGUAAACAAAAUAUCUGUCAAGGUUAUCUAACUUUAAGAAAUAGAAACCUAAAGAGCAGCAGCUUGGCAUAUUGGAUAAGAUUGUGAAAUACAGAAAGCACUUAGGUAAAACAAGAACUUGGAGAAAAUCUGAACUGUAAUUAAUAAUAAUUUAUUCAAAUUAUUUCAUUAGCUCUGGCAGGUAUACGUGCCAGUAUAACAAUCAUGAUUGAAGAUACCAAGAUGGAAGCUAUGAAAACCCUUUGUAUUGUCUUCACAAUAUAUCUGUACCUAAGUAUUUUCUAAGAUGAAGUUUAUUAGAAAACACAUAUUUUUCAUCUCUAUCCACUGAAAAUGCUCCAGAAAAAGCAAGCCAGCAGCAAUGACUGUCUCAGAACCAGUGGGAAAUGGCUUAGAGCCUUAAAAUAAUGUUCUCUGUGUUUUUUUUUUUUUUUGCUCAAUACUGGAAUUGUCUGCAAAUUCAACAUUUUAAAUUUAAGUAAGGUGAACAAAUAUAAAGCAGUGAUACCAUUUAGCGUGUGCUGCCUUUUAUGACUAGACUUUAGUUGUGCCUGGGUGUGGCCAGACCAGGAUUUUCUGCAUACUAAACAUCAUAGUCAACUAACCCAUAACAGCAAUCCAGUUCUCAAAGAAGAGGGGAUACCAACCAAUACCUCUCCAGGUGAUAUAUCGUUUGUUUCUAUACGUGAAAUAUCAAAAAAAAAAAAAACACAUAAACUGUCCUGUCAAAGUAAAUGGAGAUAGCGUCAAAAGCAAGGCAGAAACACUGUGUUGUGCUUUUCUGCUGUUGUUGUAGCAAUAUAUUGAUGUGUGCACCAUGACCAGGACCAUGUUUGCUGAGUACCAGAGUCAAUAGCUGCUCAGCAUCCUGGGUAAAUUCCCAUCAUUACAUCUCACCAACUUCUUCACAUAGGCAGCAUCCUCUCCUUUCUGUUCACUUCUGCUUGGCAAUCAAUUUAGGGAUUUUGAAAUGUAUGCAGAGGCAGAGAUGGUAUAUCGAUCCCUAAAAUUCAUGUAUCAUCAAUGGUAGCUAAUGAUUGCUACCUAUAACUCCUGCUGCAAUGGACACAAAGAAUACCUAUUGGCUGAUUUUCUAUUUUUUGAGUGAGUGGAUUGGGAGGUAUUUUCAGUUUUAAGGAAUCAAUCGAGUAUUUCAACCAACGAGGGCAGGAAAAUUAUGUAAGAUGCUUUCCAGUGGUUUGAGUAUCAAGAAAAUCUUAUGUUAAAAGAGGCAUUAAGUUUCACAUUAUCAACUAUUAUAAGGAAGAAUCUUCUCUAUGCUUGUUCUUUUACACUUAAUGCCCAAACUUAUCUCCUUUUCUCUCCCAACCCUGUCUCUUCAUCUUUCUCCAUAGUAUUAUUUUGCCUUAUAAUAUUUGUGUUCAAAAUACAAUACUUUUCUUCAAGCAAGCAAGAAUGGAAACAAAUCUGCCUGUGGCACCCAGCAUGUGCUUUCAAUUCCAGACAUGCCUUUUGCAUGUGGUUUUUCGUAUGUAAUGAUGACUCUGAGGUCAGACCCAUCAGGUUUCCUAUUUCUCAAAUCACUGAACUAACAAACUGCAGCCUCUCACUUAGCAUGUUGGUCAAAACAACACUGUGUUUCUGCUCUGCCUUUUCAAUAAGCGCGUGCUUUCCCUUUGCACUCCAUGGAAAUGAAAAACACGUUUCUCUACCAAACCACUACCCUAUAUCAAGCAGACACACACAUCAUGGUCCAGUGUGGUUACUAUCUUUAUAUUAUAAGACAACCCUACAACUGAUGAUUGGAUAAACCAAAAUAGAGAAUAAACUUGCACAAUAAGAGAGGUUUGAUAAGUCUGUAGAUUUUGACAUAGUUUGGGAUUUGGGGUUUACAUAUGUAAUGAUUUCAUAUUCCAAAUUCUUUGACUAAGCACUUUUAUACUUUUAAAAUGCUAAUGUAUUAGUUCAAAUUCUAUUCUCAGAUUGGAAAUCUUCAAUUAUGCAUAGCAUUUUAAUUUCCUAAAUGUUUAAUGUAUACACAUUAACAAACAAAACUCCAGCAAUAACAAAGUGACCCCCACAAACUCUACAAAUACUUGUCCCACUGAAUUGGAAAUUGAGAUUACUGUCUGGGCAUUGGAGUCUCAUGAAACCAUCAGUCAGAUAAGCACACUGAGUAGGACCAGCCUGAAGUUUAAUUGAUACAAUGUGAAGGCAAAGUAAAAUAAUAAGCCCAGAAUCCAGGAGCUUAUUCAGGAAAGCUUUUAGAUUUUUCAGGAUGUGACAAAAAUAUUUAGUAAUUGGUGACUAAUGUCGGACAUUUUGGAAUUUCCUAACAAUGAAAAAUGUCAACCAACCUGAGCCUCAUUAAAGGCCAAGGGGAUAUGGACGUGAUUGUGGAUGAGGGAGUUUUAACUUUUUAUGCAGUGAGUGUUUAGCCUACAUAGACACGAAUGCACUCUGUGUGUGUGUGUGUGUGUGUGUGUGUGUGUGUGUGUGUGAAGCCUUUAGAGGUCAGAAGAAGGCUUCAGAGCUUCUGGUGCCAGAGUUAUUGAUGGUUGUGAGCCACCAUGUGAGUGCUGAGAAUUGAACUUGGGUCCUCCAUAACAGCAACAGAUGCUCUCAACAGCUAAGCCAACUGUUCCACUCAGAUCAGGGAUUUUUAAAGACCAAGUGGUCUCAAAAAUAGCUCUAAAAAUUACCAGCAGUAUGAAUAUUUUCUUGUUGUUUAAGCACCCAUGCCUACUUUAUUUCAGCCUCCCUUUCCUUUUUUGGUGAUAAAAUUUAAAGUUUAAGUUUCUAUUGUAUCAUAUGAAUAAUGAGUUAUGAAAUGACUACAACAAGAAUAUUAACAUCACAAAAACUAGAUAUGAAACUCAAAUAUUAACUAUUGAAAUUUUAUUUUCAGUGUUUGGUGCAAGACAAACAUCCUCAUAUAUAUGAAAAUCAAUUUCAGCCCAUCAGAUGUGUUGAAAGAAUUGGUUUUACUAUGUAGAAAUAAUUGUUACAAUUUCAUUAUCAUUAAAUUCAAUAUGGAAGAGCACUGGGGCAACUUGCCUCCAAGGUUUAUAUGCAGGUCUCAAAGGAGACAUAUUCACUUCAGUUUUCUGUCAUGAUAAUAAUGAUGUCUCCUUAUAUGAAUUAAUCCCAGAAAAUUCACCAUCAGUGCAUGACUUCCCACUACUCAAUACCUAGGUAUUUAUGUUGCUGAAUUUCUAGUUUGAAAUUCCAUAGCUGGUUUCUGUUGUCUUGGAUAAUCCCUAUGUAUAUACUCAUAUUGUCAAAUUUUCUGCCUUCAACUAUAUAAGCAUAAUGAUUAAAUCAUAAAUUAUAUUUGCUGACAAUGCCUCUAGAAAAAUGUGUUAAAUGAAUAUCUGCCUUCUUGUACUUUGUUCUGUUGAAGUUACCCAAUAUUCUGGAAUCAACUCUAAAAUUACUUCUUAAAUUAUAAAUGAUUACUUCUUUAUAUGACGUUUGUAUUUUAGGCAAGAUUUAUGUUACUAUGGGCUAGGGAUACAUCUCAGAUACAAACACUUGCCUAACAUGCUCAUCUUCACCUCUCAGCACUCAAAAAUAGUAAUGAUAAUAAUUUUUUUGUAUUUAUUCAGCGAUCUUCCUUAUUACAAAUCCUGACUUCAAACUGGGUUUGUUAUUGUCUCCCCUCCCAAAAUAUGGAUUUCUAAAAGACUAUGGAGCUGGAUGCCUAUACGAUGCCAAAGUGAUGCUUGAGCCUUGUUUUAUGCCUCAUAACAACAAUGUCAGUUGGAGUUUGGCUCUAUACUUAAAAGGAUCAAGCAACAGAGAGCUAAAAUGUAUGGUAGGUGAACUCUUCUUGAAUUCAGUAUAGAUGAUUUUCAAAGAAGGAAUGAUAUAAGGGGAAUUAUAUUUAAAUCAUAAAGUUGAUGAAGGACAACUGUUUUGCAGUAUCCUAAAGGUGGAAGUUACCAGCAGGGGCUUGUCCGAACUGUGUCUUACCUUUGUCCUCGGCGUUUCUCAUCAACACCCAUCUCGGGCAGGGCAGGCAUUGCGAUGGACACCUGCAAGGGUAGUCGGCACUUUCUUGCUGAUGUUCACAGAUGCCCGUGCCCCUUCACCUUCAUCUGAAGGGUGCAACCUUGCGACAGAGGAGCAAAAGGAAACAGACUGGUGCUUAGCAUGCUUCCUAAGGACACAUCACAACAACAAUGUCUGCACCACAGGUAAAUGAAGCUCUCUAGAGGAACCUCAGUGGACACAGGUCACAGAAGGAAACAAACGUAUAAUUGUAUUUGUACUAAAUCAAAACAUAACAUCCUAUGUACUUCCUGAAAGCUUAAGCCAUGGAACAUCAUGUGAUCUCUGACUGGCCAGUGACCAUGAAAUCCAGAAGAAUUUCAGCAUGAAUCUGCAGAUGUGUUCAGAGAAGAAUCUCUUGAUGCAGCUGAAUCUUUUGGGGGUGUUCCUUUCUUCCAGUAACCCUACUGGCUGGCCCUUCAUUUACUGUAUCAACUACCAUCAUUAGUUCAUCUAUUAUAUACUUGGUGCUCUUGUAGUCAUUGGGAAUAGAGAAGACAAAAGAAAAGAAAAACCUCAUUUUCAUGAGAUUUAAUUCUGCUGGAAAUAAAUAAUUAAAACUAUUCCAGAUGUUAAUAUAUUCCUAAAAGAAAACAAAGCAGAGAUAGACAGAUGUGUGGGAGUCCUUGAGGAGUGACCAACAACAAAAGAUUGAAGUGAGCCACAGGAAACAAUCAGCAGGGUGCUUCUACUGACCUCUAAAUCUUUCUAUAUUCUAUAUUGGGAUACUUCCUUAACAGCAAUAAUGCCCCAAGAGAAAAUGUAUUAUCAAUUCUAUGCCUAUUAUCCUUAAAAUAAAAGCCUUUUGAUUGCUACAUGUGGAAACAAUGGUUUUCAAAGACAUUUAGAUACAUAAAACCAUGUUAUCAAGUGAGAUGGACCAGUUUAUAUAUUAUAUUUUUGCAAGCUGAACUUCCUAGUAAUUAGGCUGCAUUUCACCCUAAUGUGUGACUUUAUUGUGUGAAUUUGGUUUCAACAAUGUAUGUUUUCUCCAUGUAUAAAAUGAAAGUUAUGUAGGGUCUACAUUAAACAUGAUUAUCUUUGUCUCCAUAUUGCUCCAAUGAAUUAUACUUUGUUGUGAAAUCUGUAUUAUCAAUUGGAUUUGCUUAUGGGCUUACUCUAUUCACAUAUAUUUUUUUUCAGCAUGCAAAAAUUGUUGUCAAUAGCAUUUACCUUACACCCUACUUCUCAGUAGAUGCAGUAAAAUAAAAUAAUCUCAUUGUCACCACAAAAUUGUAGGAGUGAAGUCUCAUAUUUCAACUACUUUGGCUUGGAUCUUGUUCCUGUCUCUGAACACUUGCUACAGCAAUAUGUAAUCUCUCCAAUAGCUUAGAAAUAUCUGCAUCACAGUCCACUGGAUCUAAAACAUGGACAAAAAACAAGUGACUUUUUGUCUAAAGGAAGUCAACUACUUUUACAAGGAGUAAUGGAUGCAAGUGUUGUUAUAGAAAACGCUAUUUCAAAAUGUAAUUGUCAUUCUCAUUCUCUCUCCCUACCCCCCCACACACUUCCCAUAUACACACAGAGACACAUACUUUUAAUAGUAGCAUCAAUCCUGGGGUAAGAUUCAAUUACCUUAGCCUCUUGGAUCUUUUGUCUUUAUAGUAUAAAAAGGGAGAAUGGUGAACAAAUUUGGAGGUAGUUUCACUGAAACUUAAAAACUCUUCAUGCCUCUUGUUCUAUUUAUUUGAUCCUUUUAAUUGAAAUCCACAAACUAUGGGGACAUUAUUGACUAUCUUCUUUUCUACUUUAGAAGGCACAGUGUCCUGCCAAAUAUUGCUCCUGAUUUUUGAAAACUUUUAUUUCUUUCUACCCUUAUUCUCUUAUCUAGAGUUUCUUUCAUUACCAUCCUAACUAUUCUUAAUGAACCCAUACUUGAUUCCCUGUAAAUUUAUCCUGCACACUCUAUCUCAAUAUCUUCCUCAUGCAUAGCAUCUUUCCAAACUCCUGGUGUUUAAAGUAGGUAAAGUAAAAGUAUAACACAUACUGUGACUUAUAAUUCCAUUUACAACUUGAACAUGUUUGGUUUAAUAUUCUUUACUGAAUCUCUAACUAUCCUGGUCCUUAACAAAUUUCAUGAACAAAAGACACUAUUUUUAUUAUGUCUCAGGGUUUUCAUACAGACUGUUUUACUUUGGUGGAAUAAGACAUUUUUAUAGUUGCUUUCCUUAAAUGCUAUUUCUGUGCAUCUAUGUAUGUUAAACCGACUAUUUUAAUUACAUAGUAUUUUUUAUUUUAUUAUAUACUAUUUUCCACAAAAGCCUCCUCUAAGCUCUGAAUUCAGAGUAAAUUUGUCCAGAUUUUAUCAUUAUUUUUCCAUGGGAGAAAUGAAUUUGGAAUAAGAUGAUCAUUUUUAUUAUCUUUGUUAUUUAUUUCGAAGGCAUAAUCAAAAUUAGAUCAACAAAUCAUUAAAACUAAUAAAUGGAGGCAAAGAUUAAAUACUUUUUCCUUACCAUGGAUGAGUAAGCUCUGAUUCAGCACCAUGUGCCAGCCUGUCUGGGCUGGUGGGCAUAAAUAAGUAUCCUUUAUGGUUGCUCCAAAGAGCUGUGAGUAGAUUUUAAAAUUCACUCUGAACAGAUUUUAAAUUUAGUUUUUUAAAUGUGCACUUUUUUGUGACAAUAUAACAUUUAAAAAAUGGUACCUGUAUAAAAGCCAUGAAAAUUAAAUCAAAGCCAAGGAGUUAAUGGAGUGUUACUUGACUGGCAAGGGGCCCAUAAUGUUAUCAAGAGACAGCACAAAACUAAGGACCACUAGAGGAGAAGCUGCUCCAGCCAAGAAUUGGUGAGACACAUUGUUAAAGUACACAACUCAAUGACAAAAUGGCACUAUGGCAACAGUCCCUUGCCAGCACAUACCCACACAAAACAUGAGGGCUGGGGGCAGGGGGUGAGGAUAUGCUCCGUCCUUUAUUAGAAACCAACACAGGUAUUUCUUCACUACUGGUUGUCAUUAAGACAUUCCCAAGAUCCUCUAAUGUGACAUUAAAAUAUCAGUAUCAUUCCAAAGAAGAGUUUAAUUGUGUCUCCAGGCAAACUAGUGCUCUGGGCCUUAAACAAAGCCACAUUAGUUAGAAGCAACAAAUAAAGUGUCUUUCAACAGCUGCCAAGUUGGGCUUAUGACCCAUUGCCAUUGCAUGGAGGGCAGAUUAAACAAAAAAUUGUGAAUUGUAUUUUAAACAUUAAAACUAUAUCUUGCAUAGGUGAUAUCACACUAUUAAAAUCAUUCUUAUACUAUUUUCUGAACUACUGUCUGCAGUAGAAUGUUGUCAACAUUAGGCUUGCCGCUUUUCAUGCUUAAAUACUCUUUAAAUUUCUUAAUAGAUAUCUGAUAUUAAAAUGACUUUAUUAAAAUACAUGUACGUAUUUGCCCUUAUUUUAUGUGAAAUCCAGUUUUAUAAUUAACAGAAAUAGUAAGAAUAUAUAGCCAGAUUGUACUGGAUCACUAAAUACUGAUACAGUAUAUUUUUUGUAAAGUUGGAAUUUGUGAGUCAAAACAGAUGAAGAUUUUAGAAGUUGGCCUAUACUGCUAAAUUGCUUUCCAAAAGUUCUGUGAAAGUUUGCACAGUUAAUAGUAAAAAGAAGUGCCAGUCACGUGCACUGCCCUGGCCAGGAUCACAUUGUGAAAUUUUGGUAACUGAUAGACCAAACAAAGUACAAAUUUGGUCAUAAUUUUUAUUAUUGUUAUUGAUAACAACUGAAAGGUAGCAAUAAAGCUGCAUUUUGGGGACCUAGAAAUCAUAAGAACACCAUUUAAAACUAGAUUUGAAGUUCUAGAUUUUAUUGAUAUUGUUCUAGGGUUUAUUUAGUGAGAAUAUAACAUGUUCAAACUUUGUAAAACAGACUAAUUUUUUUUCAAGUCUAAUAUUAAUCUACCAGGUCCAAAGUCAUCAAAUAGUACAUUUUAUAAAAUUUUUGCACUUUUAUGUAUUUGAAUUAUUCCUGUGAAAUAGCAUAAAUAUUAUUCUUUGUUUAUUUAGGGAACAUUUUUAAUACCCACUACAUGUCAGGCACUGAUAUGUGUGAAAUAUCAGACAUAAUCUUUAGUUAUAAAAAUUCAAAAUUUAGUAGGACAGGAGGAAAUGAGAUAUAUGAGUUUGUGCAGCUGUAAUUCUAUCAAUAGUUAUUCAAUGCAAAGGAAAAAAUAUAUAAAAUAAUUUAUAAUGUAUGAUUAGUUUUUUUCUUUUGUAGGAUAAUCUACCACUGUCUACUUAUGCAGCGGAUUUUCUGGUACAGAGAGGAUACUCAUAACACACAGGGCCUUGAUGAUCUAGCAUCCGUUAACAAUGGAGACAAAUACCCAAGGUUUUUAAUAUGUCCACCAAUAUCUUAUGUAAAUUCAUAAUUUAAAUACACAAAUAAUUUAGGCAAGGACAGAGCCAAUGCAGGCACAUAAUAGAUGCUAUGAUAUGUAAUGUUUUCAGUAAAUCAAUCCUUUCCUCAUUCGUAACUGAAGAAAUGCAAACAGAACAUUCUUUUAAAAAUAACUUGUGUUUACUAGCUUUGGGGGACAGUUAUUUACAGAGAGGGAGAUUUAAAGAGUCACAAAUUACAAUAAUGUCCUUUUUAAAUACAAUUUUAUCCUCUUAUAGAUAUCAUGAAACAAAAAUGUUCUACCCUUCACAAACACAUUCAACAGUAAUAUCCUUUCAAAAUCAUUGUCUAUGCAUCAUUGGUGAGGCCUAGUGUUUGAUCUCCUGAGUCUCAAAAAUAAACAAACAAUUAAAUCAAUUAGUUGACCAAUUUAAGUACUAAAAUCAAAAACUCUUAGUUCCUUUUGUGUUUCUACUCCUUUGGAGUAGAUGAAUGUUGUCUUCAUACAGUAAAGGGAGAAGGGCAAAGAGAAAGAAAUUCUUCCCAACAAACUCUUAUUCUGGCAGCAGUCCAUCAGACAUCGACUAUUAGGCUCACCUCCUGACAUUGCGCAUUAGGAAUUGUGUUAACAUUAAUUUUUGGCUGAGACUGGUGACUCAGGGCUAUGAUUAUAGGUAUUCAGGAGGCUGAGUUGGGAAGACUCAAGCUCAGUCAAGGCAAUCUGAAGAGUCCCUAUCUCAAAAUAAAAACUGAGAUAAAGGCCAGCAGGUAUAGCUCAGUAGUAUAUGGUUUCUUUGUUAAAGUUCUAGAAAGAGUCUGACGGGGAGAAAGCUUGCUGCUUAGGGAUGCUUGGCCCUAUAUAAAACUUAAAAGUGUUGUUAGUACCACUGGGUAAUGCAGCUUAGUGACAGAGGACUGAACCAAAAUGCAUCCGGUUCUGGGAUCAAUGCCACUAGUGGCAAAGACAGAACUUGUUAUGCACAGUCUGAAGGAUUUUGAGGAUUUUAAUUACCCAAUGGGCUUCCUUUAAAAAAAUAACUAUUCCAUUGUGAAUAAUGAAAAUCAUGAAUAUUUUGUUACAAAUCUUUGCACUGCAAGCUUCUUCAAAGAGCACCCCAUCCCAUUCAUCUUCAGGAAAUGGUAAUUACAUAGAUACCCCGUGUCUGCUUUCCGUUCUUUGCUUGGUUGUCUGACAGUUAAAAAUGCUACAGAAACACAUUUCACCCAAAUUUUAAACUUCCUUUGCUUACAUCAGUGGAGAGUGGAGGUAUCUGUUCAAUGUCCUCUCUCCCUGGGAAGCCUCUCAGUCAAAUAUAUGUGCUCAAUCAAGGAUGUUAAUUGCACAAGAAUAAGAAAACAUUUUUUGCUUGCCAAUAUUCCAUCAGGUCCUUGUGAGGAUGAAUAGAAAGGUGGAGAAUGACUAAAAAUGUAGAUUAGUUUUGUCAGCGAGUAGAAGGGAAAUUCAGAUUUCUAAUAAAAAUGGAAACGAGUCAUCUGGUUUGAGCUCUCAUCAUGGAAACUUCACACAAUUCCAUCUUCCUUAUUUCAUACUACAAGAUGUUUAUACUGGCAAAUCUGGGUGUGUCCUCAUUUUUAAAAAUGAGUGCCUCAAAAACGUAUAUUCUGUCAUAGAAAAUUUAGAAAAUAGUAUGUCUAAUCUAUCAUAAAAAUGCC
rnacentral:lncRNA from 1 species